rnacentral:rRNA from 1 species
GACGAACGCUGGCGGCGUGCCUAAUACAUGCAAGUAGAACGCUGAAGGAGGAGCUUGCUUCUCUGGAUGAGUUGCGAACGGGUGAGUAACGCGUAGGUAACCUGCCUGGUAGCGGGGGAUAACUAUUGGAAACGAUAGCUAAUACCGCAUAAGAGUAGAUGUUGCAUGACAUUUGCUUAAAAGGUGCAAUUGCAUCACUACCAGAUGGACCUGCGUUGUAUUAGCUAGUUGGUGGGGUAACGGCUCACCACGGCGACGAUACAUAGCCGACCUGAGAGGGGAAUCGGCAAAACUGGGACUGAGACAGGGCCCAGACUCCUACGGGGGGAGGGAGUGGGAAAUGUCCGGCAAGGGAGGAAAGUCUGACCGAGCAACGCCGCGUGAGGGAAGAAGGUUUUCGGAUCGUAAAGCUCUGUUGUAGGAGAAGAACGAGUGGGAGAGUGGAAAGUUCACACUGUGAGGGUAUCUUACCAGAAAGGGACGGCUAACUACG